AGUUUUUGAGAAAUCAUGAUACCAACAGAGUAUUUAAGGAGCCUCUAGCUACUCCCUCAAAAU
rnacentral:tRNA from 1 species